GUGCUUAUUUUGGCAGCGCAUAUACGAUAAUUGGAAACGUACAGAAAAGAUUAGCAUGGCCUCUGGGCAAGGAUGACAUGCAAAGUUUUAAAAAAAAACAACAAACCA
rnacentral:snRNA from 1 species